CACAGGUUUUCUUGUCAGUCCUGUGAGUCCGGAGGUCUUCUUGGCAGUCCUGUGAGUCCGGAGGUCUUCUUCGGGCAGUUCUUUGUCUCCUGGUAGGCAUACUGUCAAUUACGCCACCAGGUGAUGACUGCGUCCUGGGUGAAAGUAAAGAAUAAUCCUACCCACUGCUGGGGAAUGCUGAGAAAGACGGAUCGAGCCAGCGAGUGCAGCAGCCAUAACCAGCUCGGCUGUUGCAUCAACAGCCAUCCUGACGGGACAGUUGGACCCCUCUCAUUGGAACCUUCCCCGGGCCACAGCCGGCGGAGACCUAAGUUUGAGCCGAGAGACUUUGGGCCAGACACCAUUAGACAACAAAUCCGUCGGAAAAGCAGUGCACUUUGUUAAAUGCUCAUCUCAAACUUAUUUCCCUCUAUUUUUCUUCUCUAAUGUAAAACUUGGGUAAGGAAGGCGUGCAAAAGAUUUGUAUAGGACUCGCCGCACGUUUACGCUGAAGAUGCUGGAGAAGACAAAGAGCAAACCUCACAUAACAUAUUCCCAGUCCCCGAGCCCGAACCCGAAACAUAGGCAACAAAAAUAGCUGAAACCAACACAGCAACAAAGACUUGCACAAA